rnacentral:rRNA from 1 species
UACAGAGGUCUCGAGCGUUGUUCGGAUUCAUUGGGCGUAAAGGGUGCGUAGGCGGUCGGGUAAGUCUGAUGUGAAAUCUCACAGCUUAACUGUGAAACUGCAUUGGAUACUAUCCGGCUCGAGGAAUGGAGGGGAGACUGGAAUACUUGGUGUAGCAGUGAAAUGCGUAGAUAUCAAGUGGAACACCAGUGGCGAAGGCGAGUCUCUGGACAUUUCCUGACGCUGAGGCACGAAAGCGUGGGGAGCAAACAGG